rnacentral:rRNA from 1 species
UGCAAGUAGAACGCUGAAGAGAGGAGCUUGCUCUUCUUGGAUGAGUUGCGAACGGGUGAGUAACGCGUAGGUAACCUGCCUUGUAGCGGGGGAUAACUAUUGGAAACGAUAGCUAAUACCGCAUAACAAUGGAUGACACAUGUCAUUUAUUUGAAAGGGGCAAUUGCUCCACUACAAGAUGGACCUGCGUUGUAUUAGCUAGUAGGUGAGGUAAUGGCUCACCUAGGCGACGAUACAUAGCCGACCUGAGAGGGUGAUCGGCCACACUGGGACUGAGACACGGCCCAGACUCCUACGGGAGGCAGCAGUAGGGAAUCUUCGGCAAUGGGGGCAACCCUGACCGAGCAACGCCGCGUGAGUGAAGAAGGUUUUCGGAUCGUAAAGCUCUGUUGUAAGUCAAGAACGGGUGUGAGAGUGGAAAGUUCACACUGUGACGGUAGCUUACCAGAAAGGGACGGCUAACUACGUGCCAGCAGCCGCGGUAAUACGUAGGUCCCGAGCGUUGUCCGGAUUUAUUGGGCGUAAAGCGAGCGCAGGCGGUUUGAUAAGUCUGAAGUUAAAGGCUGUGGCUCAACCAUAGUUCGCUUUGGAAACUGUCAAACUUGAGUGCAGAAGGGGAGAGUGGAAUUCCAUGUGUAGCGGUGAAAUGCGUAGAUAUAUGGAGGAACACCGGUGGCGAAAGCGGCUCUCUGGUCUGUAACUGACGCUGAGGCUCGAAAGCGUGGGGAGCGAACAGGAUUAGAUACCCUGGUAGUCCACGCCGUAAACGAUGAGUGCUAGGUGUUGGAUCCUUUCCGGGAUUCAGUGCCGCAGCUAACGCAUUAAGCACUCCGCCUGGGGAGUACGACCGCAAGGUUGAAACUCAAAGGAAUUGACGGGGGCCCUGCACAAGCGGUGGAGCAUGUGGUUUAAUUCGAAGCAACGCGAAGAACCUUACCAGGUCUUGACAUCCCGAUGCUAUUUCUAGAGAUAGAAAGUUACUUCGGUACAUCGGUGACAGGUGGG